rnacentral:rRNA from 1 species
UACGAAGGGUCCAAGCGUUGUUCGGAAUCAUUGGCCGUAAAGCGAGUGCGGGUGGCUUCUUAAGUCAGGAGUGAAAGCCCAGAGCUUAACUCUGGAAGUGCUUUUGAUACUGGGAAGCUUGAAUGUGGUAGAGGGUGCUAGAAUACCUAAUGUAGUGGUGAAAUACGUAGAUAUUAGGUGGAACACCGGUGGCGAAGGCGGGCACCUGGACCAACAUUGACACUUAGACUCGAAAGCGUGGGGAUCAAACAGG